rnacentral:rRNA from 1 species
UGGGGAAUUUUGGACAAUGGGCGAAAGCCUGAUCCAGCAAUGCCGCGUGCAGGACGAAGGCCUUCGGGUUGUAAACUGCUUUUGUACGGAACGAAACGGUCUCUUCUAAUACAAGGGGCUAAUGACGGUACCGUAAGAAUAAGCACCGGCUAACUACGUGCCAGCAGCCGCGGUAAUACAGAGGGUGCGAGCGUUAAUCGGAUUUACUGGGCGUAAAGCGUGCGUAGGCGGUUUGGUAAGACAGAUGUGAAAUCCCCGGGCUUAACCUGGGAACUGCAUUUGUGACUGCCAGACUAGAGUGUAGCAGAGGGGGGUAGAAUUCCACGUGUAGCAGUGAAAUGCGUAGAUAUGUGGAGGAAUACCGAUGGCGAAGGCAGCCCCCUGGGCUAACACUGACGCUCAUGCACGAAAGCGUGGGGAGCAAACAGGAUUAGAUACCCACGUAGUCCCUGAGCGGGCUGGCAAGGCGCAU